rnacentral:tRNA from 1 species
GCGAGUAUAGAAGAAAGGUAAACUCAGUAGUUUUCCAAACUGUAUUUUGCGGGUUCGAAUCCCGCUACUCGCU